rnacentral:rRNA from 1 species
GAUGAACGCUGGCGGCGUGCCUAAUACAUGCAAGUCGAGCGAACAGACGAGGAUCUUGCUGCUCUGACGUUAGCGGCGGACGGGUGAGUAACACGUGGAUAACCUACCUAUAAGACUGGGAUAACUUCGGGACACCGGAGCUAAUACCGGAUAAUAUCUUGAACCGCAUGGUUCAAUGGUGAAAUACGGUGUUGCUGUCACUUAUAGAUGGAUCUGCGCUGCAUUAGCUAGUUGUUAAGGUAACGGCUUACCAAGGCAACGAUGCGUAGCCGACCUGAGGGGGUGAUCGGCCACACUGGAACUGAGACACGGUCAUGACUCCUACGGGAGGCAGCAGUAUGGAAUCUUCCGCAAUGGGCGAAAGCCUUACGGAGCAGCGCGGCGUGAGUGAUGAAGGUCUUCGGAUCGUAAAAAUCUGUUAUUAGGGAAGAACAAAUUUGUAAGUAACUGUGCACUUCUUGACGGUACCUAAUCAGAAAGCCACGGCUAACUACGUG